GUCACUAACCUGAGACAGCUGAUUAAAUUGGAAUGAUAGAAAGAAGAUGAGCGUGGUUUUUGCACAAGGAUGACACAUACAGAUUGAGAAAUUCAAGCACGCCUU